rnacentral:ncRNA from 13 species
GCGGAAGUAGUUCAGUGGUAGAACAUCACCUUGCCAUGGUGGGGGUCGCGGGUUCGAAUCCCGUCUUCCGCU